AACGAACGCUGGCGGCAGGCUUAACACAUGCAAGUCGAGCGCCUCGCAAGAGGAGCGGCAGACGGGUGAGUAACGCGUGGGAACGUACCCUUAUCUUCGGAAUAGCUCUGGGAAACUGGAAGUAAUACCGAAUGUGCCCUUAGGGGGAAAGAUUUAUCGGCUAAGGAUCGGCCCGCGCUGGAUUAGCUAGUUGGUGGGGUAAAGGCCUACCAAGGCGACGAUCCAUAGCUGGUCUGAGAGGAUGAUCAGCCACAUUGGGACUGAGACACGGCCCAAACUCCUACGGGAGGCAGCAGUGGGGAAUAUUGGACAAUGGGCGCAAGCCUGAUCCAGCCAUGCCGCGUGAGUGAUGAAGGCCUUAGGGUUGUAAAGCUCUUUCACCGGAGAAGAUAAUGACGGUAUCCGGAGAAGAAGCCCCGGCUAACUUCGUG
rnacentral:rRNA from 1 species